rnacentral:rRNA from 1 species
GCCAGACUCCUACGGGAGGCAGCAGUGGGGGAUAUUGCACAAUGGGGGGAACCCUGAUGCAGCGACGCCGCGUGGGUGAAGAAGCGCCUCGGCGCGUAAAGCCCUGUCAGCAGGGAAGAAAAUGACGGUACCUGAAGAAGAAGCCCCGGCUAACUACGUGCCAGCAGCCGCGGUAAUACGUAGGGGGCAAGCGUUAUCCGGAUUUACUGGGUGUAAAGGGAGCGUAGACGGCGAUGCAAGUCUGAAGUGAAAGGCGGGGGCCCAACCCCCGGACUGCUUUGGAAACUGUAUAGCUGGAGUGCAGGAGAGGUAAGUGGAAUUCCUAGUGUAGCGGUGAAAUGCGUAGAUAUUAGGAGGAACACCAGUGGCGAAGGCGGAUGACUGGACGACAACUGACGGUGAGGCGCGAAAGCGUGGGGAGCAAACAGGAUUAGAUACCCGCGUACG